rnacentral:sRNA from 2 species
ACGUAUCACUCGUGCGCUGCGGUUAUGAGCGCGCCGUCCGCACACGCUGAAGACUGCUCGCCACGUUUUGUCAGCC